UACGGGAGGCAGCAGUGGGGAAUAUUGGGCAAUGGGCGAAACCCUGACCGAGCAACGCCGCGUGAUUGAAGAAGUAUUUCGAUAUGUAAAAAUCUUUUUUAGAGGACGAACGACCAUAUCAGGGAAUGGGUAUGGAGUGACGGUACUUUAAGAAUAAGCCCCGGCUAACUACGUGCCAGCAGCCGCGGUAAU
rnacentral:rRNA from 1 species